rnacentral:rRNA from 1 species
GUCGAGAAUUUUGGGCAAUGGACGAAAGUCUGACCCAGCAAUGCCGCGUGCGGGAUGAAGGUCUUCGGAUUGUAAACCGCUGUCGAGGGGGACGAAAAAUGACGGUACCCCUGGAGGAAGCCACGGCUAACUACGUGCCAGCAGCCGCGGUAAUACGUAGGUGGCGAGCGUUGUUCGGAUUUAUUGGGCGUAAAGGGUCCGCAGGGGGUUGAUUAAGUCUGACGUGAAAUCUCUGAGCUCAACUCAGAAAUUGCGUUGGAGACUGGUUGACUAGAGUGUUGGAGAGGUAAUUGGAAUUCCAGGUGUAGCGGUGGAAUGCGUAGAUAUCUGGAAGAACAUCGAAAGCGAAGGCAGAUUACUGGACAACAACUGACCCUCAGGGACGAAAGCAUGGGGAGCAAACAGGAUUAGAUACCCGGGUAGUCC